AUGGCUCAGGACGAACGCUGGCGGCGUGCUUAACACAUGCAAGUCGAACGGGGAUAUACCAGAGGAGAGCUUCGGCAGGAAUCGGGUAUAUUCGAGUGGCGGACGGGUGAGUAACGCGUGAGCAACCUGUCCCAGACAGGGGGAUAACACUUGGAAACAGGUGCUAAUACCGCAUAAGACCACGGGAUCACAUGGUUCUGGGGUAAAAGGAGCGAUCCGGUUUGGGGUGGGCUCGCGUCCGAUUAGAUAGUUGGUGAGGUAACGGCCCACCAAGUCGACGAUCGGUAGCCGACCUGAGAGGGUGAUCGGCCACAUUGGAACUGAGAGACGGUCCAAACUCCUACGGGAGGCAGCAGUGGGGAAUAUUGGGCAAUGGGCGAAAGCCUGAACCCCCAGCAACGCCGCGUGAGUGAAGAAGGCCUUCGGGUUGUAAAGCUCUGUUAUAGUUGACGAAGGAAGUGACGGUAGGCUGUAAGGAAGCCCCGGCUAACUACGUGCCAGCCGCUGC
rnacentral:rRNA from 1 species